GCCGGGCAUGGUGGCGGGCGCCUGUAAUCCCAGCUACUCGGGAGGCUGAGGCAGAAGAAUUGCUUGGACUCAGGAGGCCGAGGUUGCAGUGAGCAAAGAUAGCGCUACUGCACUCUAGCCUGAGUGACAGAGCAAGACUCCAUCUCAA
rnacentral:SRP_RNA from 1 species